rnacentral:rRNA from 1 species
CGACACCGGAGAGGGAGCCUGAGAAACGGCUACCACAUCCAAGGAAGGCAGCAGGCGCGCAAAUUACCCAAUCCCGACAUGGGGAGGUAGUGACAAUAAAUAACAAUACAGGGUUCUUUUGGAUCUUGUAAUUGGAAUGAGUACAAUUUAAAUCUCUUAACGAGGAACAAUUGGAGGGCAAGUCUGGUGCCAGCAGCCGCGGUAAUUCCAGCUCCAAUAGCGUAUAUUAAAGUUGUUGCAGUUAAAAAGCUCGUAGUUGAAUUUCAGGAUCAAGGAAUCGGUCAUGCCUUGGUAUGUACUGGUUUUAUUGGUUCUCACCUUCUAAAGAACCAUAAUGUCAUUCAUUUGAUGUUAUGGGGAAUUAGGACUGUUACCUUGAAAAAAUUAGAGUGUUUAAAGCAGGCUUACGCUUGAAUACAUUAGCAUGGAAUAAUGAAAUAGGACAUCAGAUUCUAUUUUGUUGGUUUCUAGGAUCGAUGUAAUGAUUAAUAGGGAUAGUUGGGGGCAUUAGUAUUCAAUUGUCAGAGGUGAAAUUCUUGGAUUUAUUGAAGACUAACUACUGCGAAAGCAUUUGCCAAGGAUGUUUUCAUUAAUCAAGAACGAAAGUUAGGGGAUCGAAGACGAUCAGAUACCGUCGUAGUCUUAACCAUAAACUAUGCCGACUAGGGAUCGGAUGAUGUUAAUUUUUUAAUGAC